UUUGAAAGCUUAAGCUAAUCGAGUUGUAUUUGUAAAAUGGAAAACUAAUUCCCUGUCAGGUAAUGAAAGCCCACAGGAUAGGUCCCCCUUAAUAGUAGAAUGACUAACGUGAUAAUACACAGAUGUGUCUGUCUCAGAGUAACUAUCAAACUCUCAGGAGUCAAUGGGGAGUAGGAGAGAAUUCUAACGUGUCAUAAUCUCCCCUUACUAUUGGAAUGGGGACAAUGGGCAUCUCCUUUACCUGCUUCAGGUAUACCUGAAGAGACUUCAGUUAGUAAAACCUUCCUUGCAUCUCUGCAUUACUCCAUCUGCCCCUCCCCACUGAAGGAGGAAUCAACUGUCUGACAAAUCUGGAAACAGGAACAGCCACCAAAGCAAACCUCACCUCAUUCUUGUUGGGAUAUGCCUGUGUCUGGUCUCCGCUCCACCAUGGGUUACAGGACUUUCCCCCUGAGAAGGAGACCUGCUAUUUCAGAGAGACAACUUUACUAGACAGGUUUCCCAAGAGAUGCAACCUGACGAGUUCUCCAAUCUGUAGAUGCCACUCAUCUUUACUGCAAUUAACUGCGGUCAAGUAUUUUACACCAGCCCUGGUACAUAGUGGCUACUAAGCAAAUGUUUUUUGAGUGAAUCGAUGAGUCCUUGUCCUAUGCCUACAUGAUGUGCUUACUGAGGGAUACACCCAUGAAUAAUGUUCCAUCUUCACUCUCAAAAGUCUUAUAGUUUAAAAGGAAUAAGUAUGCAACAACACUGAAAUGCCGGGUAACUAUGCUCUCUGAGAGAAUCAUCUUCUCUGUGACCUGGUUCUGCCUUAGGAAAGAGAAGCUGACUCUCAGAAUCUUACAGGAACAAUUACACUCACAGAGGCUCUGGAUUUUGCAUUUCUACAAGACAUGGUUUGACUAUAUGGCAUAGGGUAGUGCUUACCUCAGGGUCCUGGUGGAGCGCCUGGCAUACUGAUUAGGACACUUCACAGUGAUUCGGCAUCUCCUCCAGCCUCUUACAGGCCUCUGUCUUUGGAACACCUGCAGACUUUGGUUUAGAAAAGCACAGUGAUUAGCCCCCAGUGUCCUUUUCCGGCAGAGCUUUACUUAAUUAACCCUUUCAUAAUGUUUGCCUUAUAAUAUUGGCCUGAUCCUCACUCCUCCCGACUCAGAGGAGACAGUAAAUGAAGAGACAACAGUGCUUUGA